UACAGAGGUCUCAAGCGUUGUUCGGAUUCAUUGGGCGUAAAGGGCGCGUAGGCGGCCAUUCAAGUCGGGGGUGAAAGCCUGUGGCUCAACCACAGAAUUGCCUUCGAUACUGUUUGGCUUGAGACCGGAAGAGGUAAGUGGAACUGCGAGUGUAGAGGUGAAAUUCGUAGAUAUUCGCAAGAACACCAGUGGCGAAGGCGGCCGACUGGUCCGGUUCUGACGCUGAGGCGCGAAAGCGUGGGGAGCAAACAGG
rnacentral:rRNA from 1 species